GAUGAAGAACGUAGCGAAAUGAGAUACUUGGUGUGAAUUGCAGAAUCCCGUGAACCAUCGAGUCUUUGAACGCAAGUUGCGCCCGAAGCCAUUAGGCCGAGGGCACGCCUGCCUGGGCGUCACACGUCGUUGCCCCCCCAUCUACUCCUUCGGGAUUGCGGGGGGCGGAUGAUGGCCUCCCGUGCGCCUCGUCGCGCGGUUGGCAUAAAUGCCAAGUCCUCGGCGACGCACGCCACGACAAUCGGUGGUUGCGAAACCUCGGUUGCCCGUCGUGUGCGGUCGUCGCGCAUCGAGGGCUCGAAAAAAUUGCCGGGCUCCGGCUCGGCUUUCAACGCGACCCCAGGUCAGGUGGGGUUACCCGCUGAAUUUAAGCAUAUCAAUAAGCGGAGGA
rnacentral:misc_RNA from 1 species